AUUAGAUAAAAAACCAAUGCCCUUCGGGGCUUUCUGGUGAUUCAUAAUAACUAAACGAAUCGCAUGGCCUUGAGCCGGCGAUGGUUCAUUCAAAUUUCUGCCCUAUCAACUUUCGAUUGUAGGAUAGAGGCCUACAAUGGUUUCAACGGGUAACGGAGAAUUAGGGUUCGGUUCCGGAGAGGGAGCCUGAGAAACGGCUACCACAUCCAAGGAAGGCAGCAGGCGCGCAAAUUACCCAAUCCCGACACGGGGAGGUAGUGACAAUAAAUACUGAUACAGGGCUCUUUUGGGUCUUGUAAUUGGAAUGAGUACAAUUUAAAUCCCUUAACGAGGAACAAUUGGAGGGCAAGUCUGGUGCCAGCAGCCGCGGUAAUUCCAGCUCCAAUAGCGUAUAUUAAAGUUGUUGCAGUUAAAAAGCUCGUAGUUGAACCUUGGGUCUGGCUGGCCGGUCCGCCUCACCGCGUGCACUGGUCCGGCCGGACCUUUCCUCUUGGGGAUCCGCAUGCCUUACUGGG
rnacentral:rRNA from 1 species